UACGGGGGGGGCAAGCGUUGUUCGGAAUUACUGGGCGUAAAGGGCUCGUAGGUGGCCAACUAAGUCAGACGUGAAAUCCCUCAGCUUAACUGGGGAACUGCGUCUGAUACUGGAUGGCUUGAGUUUGGGAGAGGGACGCGGAAUUCCAGGUGUAGCGGUGAAAUGCGUAGAUAUCUGGAGGAACACCGGUGGCGAAGGCGGCAUUCUGGACCAAUAUUGACGCUGAGGAGCGAAAGCCAGGGGAGCAAACGGG
rnacentral:rRNA from 1 species